rnacentral:rRNA from 1 species
GAUCCUGGCUCAGGAUGAACGCUAGCGGCAGGCCUAACACAUGCAAGUCGAGGGGCAGCGGAGAGGUAGCAAUACCUUUGCCGGCGACCGGCGCACGGGUGAGUAACACGUAUGCAAUCCACCUGUAACAGGGGGAUAACCCGGAGAAAUCCGGACUAAUACCCCAUAAUAUGGGCUCUCCGCAUGGAGGGUCCAUUAAAGAGAGCAAUUUUGGUUACAGACGAGCAUGCGCUCCAUUAG